AGCUGCUUUAAAUAUUUCUGUAUAUAAAGGCCUGUCCCUUUUUUCUCUUUUUAUCUCUUUAGGAUACAACCUAAAAGUGGGAGUGCUAGAUAAAAAGAAAAUAUUAGGAACAGAAUAAAUAUCCAACUAUCUAAACUGCUUUAGAGGAAGACUUCCUGGAGGAGAUGGGAUUGCUAAAUGACCUCAAGUCCUAUCCAGAAAAUAACGAUACAGAAAUUAAAAGGAAGAAGUGA
rnacentral:lncRNA from 1 species